CAGAACGAACGCUGGCGGCGUGCUUAACACAUGCAAGUCGAACGCGAAAGGGACUUCGGUCCUGAGUAAAGUGGCGCACGGGUGAGUAACGCGUAGAUAACCUGUCUUCAUGUCUGGAAUAAUACGCCGAAAGGGGUACUAAUACCGGAUAUUCUUGCUUUUCAUAAGUUAUGCAAGCAAAGGUGGCCUCUGCAUAUGCUACUGCAUGAAGAGGGGUCUGCGUACCAUUAGCUAGUAGGUGGGGUAAUGGCCUACCUAGGCGACGAUGGUUAGCGGGUCUGAGAGGAUGGUCCGCCACACUGGCACUGGAACACGGGCCAGACUCCUACGGGAGGCAGCAGUGAGGAAUAUUGCGCAAUGGGGGAAACCCUGACGCAGCGACGCCGCGUGAGUGAGGAAGGCCCUUCGGGUCGUAAAGCUCUGUCAAGAGGAAAGAAGUGUACAAUGGCUAAUACCUGUUGUAUUUGACGGUACCUCUAAAGGAAGCACUGGCUAACUCCGUGCCAGCAGCUGC
rnacentral:rRNA from 1 species